GCAUCUUUUCUUUAAGGAGCACAAAGACCUCGAGGUUGCUUUCUUUCUGUUUUGCAUCACUUCCCUGACUAAUACAGACACACUGUAUUUGCAUAACAUAGUUUUGGUCCGCAUGGGACCCCAGCUCCAGCUUCCUGAAUAUGCAUUUUAUUCUGUGCGAUGUCUGAACGUUGCAGCUCUAAUCUCAUCACCAGCCUGUGUACUUCCACUGAGUUAUUCUCCAGGCUUUAGAACCGCACCUCCAAUUUGUAAGCUGAGCUAACGAUUACAUUUUCAUCUCUGAAAGAUGUUAAAUGAAAGCAUGCUUUGUGGGGAGAAUAAAUUGAAGAUCUCAGCAUGAGUGGCCCCCGACCCCCAGCCCAGCGUCUCUGCUUGCUCAGUGGAGGCUGGAGAAUAAACUCCCCUUUCUCUCGAACAUUCAUCUUCACCCAGAGAACCUUGCGGGAACUACGCUCUUAAUACAGCACUGUUUGGCCCCCUUCACUGAGAUGCUUUCAUUUGAUCAGCCCAGAGAAUAACCAUUUCGCAGCCUUGGAGACAGAGUUCAGUGAUUGAAGCACCAGCCGAUGGAAACGGCGUGGGACCCCAGAUAGCUGGGAUCGAUGAAGAAACUGUCCAUCCCUAAAAGAACAGGACAACAGACAGGCUGCAGUUGCAAAAACUACAAUCAGAAUUUCGCUGAGACAAUGGUCUGGAUAUCCUGAACUGACAUCCUGUAAGAAUUUCAAUGUAUUGAACGUAACUGGUAAAAUUUUGGAAGCUUAUGUGAGGAAUGAUUGUUAUUUUCUUCAUAAACUUGGAUUUAAAUGUC